rnacentral:rRNA from 1 species
GACGAACGCUGGCGGCGUGCUUAACACAUGCAAGUCGAACGGAAAGACCCUGCUUUUUUGCUGUGCGCGGGUGGCGAACGGGUGUGUCACCCGUGAGUAGCCUACCCUGUACUUUGGGAUAACUUCACAUUACGGGGGCUACUACCGGCUAGGAGCUAUUCCUGCUGAGAGUAGCUUAGAAAGUUUAGGCGGUUUGGGAUGGACUCGCGGCUUAUUAGCUUGGUGGUUGGGUAGUGGCUUACCAAGGCAUUGACGGGUAGCCGGCCUGAGAGGGUGACCGGCCACAUUGGGACUGAGAUACGGCACAGACUCCUAUGGGAGGCAGGAGUGGGGAGUAUUGCACAACGGGCGGAAGCCUGAUGCAGCAACGCCGCGUGCGGGAUGACGGCCUGCGGGUUGUAAACCACUUUCGCCUGUGACGAAGAGUGAGUGACGGUAAUGGGUAAAGAAGCACCGGCUAACUACGUG